rnacentral:rRNA from 1 species
UACGUAGGCAGCAAGCGUUGUUCGGAGUUACUGGGCGUAAAGGGUGUGUAGGCGGUUCUCUAAGUUUGGUGUGAAAUCUCCCGGCUCAACUGGGAGGGUGCGCCGAAAACUGGAGAGCUAGAGUACUGGAUGGGAGAGUGGAAUUCCUGGUGUAGCGGUGAAAUGCGCAGAUAUCAGGAAGAACACCUAUGGCGAAGGCAGCUCUCUGGGACGGUACUGACGCUGAGACGCGAAAGCGUGGGGAGCGAACAGG